GACGAACGCUGGCGGCGUGCUUAACACGUGCAAGUCGAACGGUGAACUCCGCUUGCGGGGGGAUCAGUGGCGAACGGGUGAGUAACACGUGGGCAACCUGCCCUCAGCUCUGGGAUAACUCCAAGAAAUUGGGGCUAAUACCGGAUAUGACCGCUGACCGCAUGGUCUGGUGGUGGAAAGAUUUAUCGGCUGGGGAUGGGCCCGCGGCCUAUCAGCUUGUUGGUGGGGUAGUGGCCUACCAAGGCGACGACGGGUAGCCGGCCUGAGAGGGUGACCGGCCACACUGGGACUGAGACACGGCCCAGACUCCUACGGGAGGCAGCAGUGGGGAAUAUUGCGCAAUGGGCGAAAGCCUGACGCAGCGACGCCGCGUGGGGGAUGACGGCCUUCGGGUUGUAAACCUCUUUCAGCAGGGACGAAGCGAAAGUGACGGUACCUGCAGAAGAAGCACCGGCCAACUACGUG
rnacentral:rRNA from 1 species